rnacentral:rRNA from 1 species
AUUGAACGCUGGCGGCAGGCCUAACACAUGCAAGUCGAGCGGAUGAAGGGAGCUUGCUCCUGGAUUCAGCGGCGGACGGGUGAGUAAUGCCUAGGAAUCUGCCUGGUAGUGGGGGAUAACGUCCGGAAACGGGCGCUAAUACCGCAUACGUCCUGAGGGAGAAAGUGGGGGAUCUUCGGACCUCACGCUAUCAGAUGAGCCUAGGUCGGAUUAGCUAGUUGGUGGGGUAAAGGCCUACCAAGGCGACGAUCCGUAACUGGUCUGAGAGGAUGAUCAGCCACACUGGAACUGAGACACGGUCCAGACUCCUACGGGGGGCAGCAGUGGGGAAUAUUGGACAAUGGGCGAAAGCCUGAUCCAGCCAUGCCGCGUGUGUGAAGAAGGUCUUCGGAUUGUAAAGCACUUUAAGUUGGGAGGAAGGGCAGUAAGUUAAUACCUUGCUGUUUUGACGUUACCAACAGAAUAAGCACCGGCUAACUUCGUG